UACGGGGGGGGUAAGCGUUGUUCGGAAUUACUGGGCGUAAAGGGCUCGUAGGCGGCCAACUAAGUCAUACGUGAAAUCCCUCAGCUUAACUGGGGAACUGCGUGUGAUACUGGAUGGCUUGGAUUUGGGAGAGGGAUGCGGAAUUCCUGGUGUAGCGGUGAAAUGCGCAGAUAUCAGGAGGAACACCAGCGGCGAAGGCGGCGCUCUGGGCCGGAACUGACGCUGAGGAGCGAAAGCGUGGGGAGCAAACAGG
rnacentral:rRNA from 1 species